GCCACGCCUACCCCGCGCCUGAUCCGCAAGGGGGAAAAGUCGGACACCUUCACCGACCUGGCGGCGGCACCCUUUGAAGGC
rnacentral:sRNA from 1 species